UUCUCCGGCCGUGAAAGCCUUCGACAAUACAUCAAUACAGAGAAGAUUAGUAUGGCCCCUGUGCAAGUUUGACCUGGUCAGAUCUCAGAAGCUAAGCAUGGUU